rnacentral:tRNA from 1 species
GCAGGUAUGGUGAAAUCGGUAUACACAGAAGACUUAAAAUCUUCCGCCUCUGGCAUGUCGGUUCGAGUCCGACUACCUGUACCA